GCGGCAUUACCGGCCUGAAUCUAAUACAAUCUGGUGCUACAGUCAUUCUGUACAAAAGUUCACUUCCUGGUCUUAAUUUAAGGUUAGGGUUAUGCAUAAGGUUAGCAGUGUGGUUAGGGUUAGGUUUAAAAUCACAUUCAAAGAAGUGUAAUUGUAGAAAUAGGUGGCGUUUAUAACUUUGUGCCUGUGGUAACUAGUGACGACCUAGAUUUAGCUUGACCCAAGUUACUGCCCUGGUGACACAGACGGCUUCAUCAACAAUGGCCCUCCCAGUCAACAACACCUCAUAAGAUGAGGAAGUACAUUGUUUAUGAGGAUUGCCUGUUGCAGAGAUGUCCAGUUUAAAGCCGAACAUGCAACAUAGAGAAGACCAGCAGGGGGACCUUCAGCAUCAUGAAGACAUGCCCUAGCUGUGCGCAUUCCUAUAAAUGGAACAGGAAUGACACUUGAAACAGUAUCUUUGAUGAGGGGCCAGGACCUGAUCUACGCUGCCAUGCCCGUCAAUGGGGUGCUGACAAAAAACCUUACCUCCAGCCUCACCUCUUGCCUGCUCAACAAUUUUUGUUGAUGAGGAGACCAUAAUUAGGUAGGUUGAGUUUGACCUGUUCAAACUUUAACAUAGUAUACACUCCGUGGCCAGUAUACCUUGUUCAUAAGAAUGGAUUGCUCCUACAGACAGUGAGUCACGGGGCAGUGGCUUGCUAUAUAAAGCAGGCCGACAGGCAUCGAGGCAUUCAGUUACUGUUCGAUUGAAUGUUAGAAUGGGCAAAACGAGUGGCCUAAGGGACUUCGAGCAUGGUGUGAUAAGUCAGUGCCAGGAGUGCCA
ensembl:lncRNA